UACAGAGGUCUCAAGCGUUUGUUCGGAUUCAUUGGGCGUAAAGGGUGCGUAGGCGGCGCGGUAAGUCGGGUGUGAAAUCUCCCGGCUCAACCGGGAGGGUGCGCGGAAAACUGGCGGGCUAGAGUACGGGAUGGGAGAGUAGAAUUCCUGGUGUAGCGGUGAAAUGCGUAGAUAUCAGGAGGAAUACCGGUGGUGUAGACGGCUCUCUGGACCGUAACUGACGCUGAUGCACGAAAGCUAGGGGAGCAAACAGG
rnacentral:rRNA from 1 species